AAGUGUAUGGGCGUGGAGGAGGUAACUAUUUCAGUACCUCUAGAGACUUCCAAAACGAUAUCACCGGGAUUCGAGUGUUCAUAGGUCCUCUGGGCCUAAUCAAGAGUAUCCAGGUGAGAUAUGGCUCUUCCUGGAGUGCGAAAUACGGAGCCCCAGGUGGGACACCUCAGGAAACCAUUCUGCAACCAGAAGAACACAUUAUAGGAAUCUACGGCUCCUAUAAGAAUUUCCUCCGCUACUUGGUCAUAUACACAGACCAAGGGAGGCAGUACCUAUUUGGGAAGGAAGAUGGCAACACCUUUAUUGAAUUCCCUGAUGAGAGUGACAAGGUGCUCACCAGAGUCUACGGCCACUACAGGCUUCUGGGCAUUACUAGCAUUGGCUUUGAAUGGGGUUAUCCUUCAUACUUAAACAAAUAGCACCUCAACCAAAGAGAAAUGUCCAUUCCUGAGUUUCCAGGUCUGAUCUGUGGGUUACCCUGCCAAGGCCAUCUGGUUGGUGGUGGGCACAAAGCGGCAGGGACCUGAGUGCAGCCCUGAAUCAGAAUCCACCAAUAAAUCCAGCUUCUGCAGC